rnacentral:rRNA from 1 species
GGUCCGGUUGGACGGUCUGCCCUAGGGUACGUACUGUCCUGGCUGGAUCUUACCUUCUGGUGAACUGUCGUGUCUCCUCUGGGGGUGCGGCAGGAAACCAGGACAAUUACUUUGAAAAAAUUAGAGUGUUUAAAGCAGGCUCGCGCUUGAAUACAUUAGCAUGGAAUAAUGAAAUAGGAC